CCUACGGGUGGCAGCAGUGGGGAAUAUUGCACAAUGGGGGAAACCCUGAUGCAGCGACGCCGCGUGAGUGAAGAAGUAUCUCGGUACGUAAAGCUCUAUCAGUACGGAAGAAAAUGACGGUACCUGACUAAGAAGCCCAGGCUAACUACGUGCCAGCAGCCGCCGUAAUACGUAGGCGGCAAGCGUUAUCCGGAAUUACUGGGUGUAAAGGGAGCGUAGACGGCAGCGCAAGUCUGGAGUGAAAUCCCAUGGCUUAACCCUGGAAGUGCUUUGGAAACUGUGCAGCUAGAGUGCAGGAGGGGUAAGCGGAAUGCCUGGUGUAGCGGUGAAAUGCGUAGAGAUUAGGAGGAACACCGAUGGCGAAGGCGGCUUACUGGAGUGUAACUGACGUUGAGGCUCGAAAGCGUGGGGAGCAAACAGGAUUAGAUACCCUUGUAGUC
rnacentral:rRNA from 1 species